rnacentral:lncRNA from 1 species
UCCAAAGUCAGCAGGAGGAAGUAGAAAUGAGACAGAGGCCUCUGUCUCCUAAUCUUUUCCAUAGGCUACUGUUUUCUUUCUUUUCUCAUGAGGAAAAAUGAUAAAAGCAAAAUAAACAAAUUAGCUACCACUUAUGAAAAUCCCCAGGAAAUUCCUUUUCCAGAGUUCUCACUUACUAAUUUGGCUAACAUUACCAAUGGUAACAGACCCCACGUAUCCGCCACAAUUGCUGUGAGUUGCAGAGGAAAAAGACUGGGAGGAAAUCUUCACUUUUCUUCUGCAACAGCAACCAACAGAAAUGAAAGAGCCAGGGGAUUUUGCAAAAUAUCAACUCCUGAGAACUAAGAAUGAGAGCCUUUCCUGCCAAGCCCAUUCUGUGCCAGUCAUCAUAAAAUACUAUGACCCUUCCUUCCAGAAGAACAAUGCGCUGUGAUCUUUGGCUACUCAAGCUUUACAUCAUCCAUAUUACCCUGCAGCAGGAACAGAUUGAUGGCCAGAAGAUUCUACCUGUGGAUCAGAAACUAGACCCUCACCAGACACCAAAUCUGCUGGAGUAUGGACUUCCUAGCUUCUAGAACUGUAAAAGAGAAAUUUCCGUUGUUUAUAAACUACCCAAUUUGUGGUAUUUUGUUAUAGCAGCCUGGAUGGAC